AAAUUUGAAAUCUGGCUCUUUCAGGGUCCGAGUUGUAAUUUGCAGAGGGCGCUUUGGCGUUGGCAGCGGUCCAAGUUCCUUGGAACAGGACGUCACAGAGGGUGAGAAUCCCGUACGUGGUCGCUGGCCUUCGCCGUGUAAAGCCCCUUCGACGAGUCGAGUUGUUUGGGAAUGCAGCUCUAAAUGGGAGGUAAAUUUCUUCUAAAGCUAAAUACUGGCCAGAGACCGAUAGCGCACAAGUAGAGUGAUCGAAAGAUGAAAAGCACUUUGGAAAGAGAGUCAAAUAGCACGUGAAAUUGUUGAAAGGGAAGCGCUUGCAGCCAGACUUGCCUGUAGUUGCUCAUCCGGGUUUCUACCCGGUGCACUCUUCUAUAGGCAGGCCAGCAUCAGUUUGGGCGGUUGGAUAAAGGUCUCUGUCACGUACCUCCUCUCGGGGAGGCCUUAUAGGGGAGACGACAUGCAACCAGCCUGGACUGAGGUCCGCGCAUCUGCUAGGAUGCUGGCGUAAUGGCUGUAAGCGGCCCGUCUUGAAACACGGACCAAGGAGUCUAACAUCUAUGCGAGUGUUUGGGUGUCAAGCCCGAGCGCGUAAUGAAAGUGAACGGAGGUGGGAUCCCUUAAGGGUGCACCAUCGACCGAUCCUGAUGUCUUCGGAUGGAUUUGAGUAAGAGCAUGGCUGUUGGGACCCGAAAGAUGGUGAACUAUGCUUGAAUAGGGUGAAGCCAGAGGAAACUCUGGUGGAGGCUCGCAGCGG
rnacentral:rRNA from 1 species